UACGGAGGGUGCAAGCGUUAAUCGGAAUUAUUGGGCCUAAAGCAUCCGUAGCCGGCUCUGUAAGUUUUCGGUUAAAUCUAUGCGCUCAACGUAUGGGCUGCCGAAAAUACUGUAGAGAUAGGGAGUGGGAGAGGUAGACGGUACUCGGUAGGAAGGGGUAAAAUCCUUUGAUCUAUCGAUGACCACCUGUGGCGAAGGCGGUCUACCAGAACACGUUCGACGGUGAGGGAUGGAAGCUGGGGGAGCAAACCGG
rnacentral:rRNA from 1 species